UCCUGGCUCAGGAUGAACGCUGGCGGCGUGCUUAACACAUGCAAGUCGAACGGAGUUUUAACGGAAGUUUCGGAUGGAAGUUUAAAAACUAGUGGCGGACGGGUGAGUAACGCGUGGGUAACCUGCCUCAUACAGGGGGAUAACAGUUAGAAAUGACUGCUAACACCGCAUAAUAUAGCGAAACCGCAUGAUUUUGCUAUCAAAUAUUUAUAGGUAUGAGAUGGGCCCGCGUCUGAUUAGCUAGUUGGUGGGGUAAAAGCCUACCAAGGCGACGAUCAGUAGCCGGCUUGAGAGAGUGACCGGCCACAUUGGGACUGAGACACGGCCCAAACUCCUACGGGAGGCAGCAGUGGGGAAUAUUGGACAAUGGGGGAAACCCUGAUCCAGCGACGCCCGCGUGAGUGAAGAAGUAUUUCGGUAUGUAAAGCUCUAUCAGCAGGGAAGAUAAUGACAGUACCUGACUAAGAAGCCCCGGCUAACUACGUGCCAGCAGCAGC
rnacentral:rRNA from 1 species